UACGAAGGGGGCUAGCGUUGCUCGGAAUCACUGGGCGUAAAGCGCACGUAGGCGGCUUUUUAAGUCAGGGGUGAAAUCCUGGAGCUCAACUCCAGAACUGCCUUUGAUACUGAGAAGCUUGAGUCCGGGAGGAGGUGAGUGGAACUGCGAGUGUAGAGGUGAAAUUCGUAGAUAUUCGCAAGAACACCAGUGGCGAAGGCGGCUCACUGGCCCGGUACUGACGCUGAGGUGCGAAAGCGUGGGGAGCAAACAGG
rnacentral:rRNA from 1 species